UACGUAGGGCGCAAGCGUUAUCCGGAAUUAUUGGGCGUAAAGAGCUCGUAGGCGGUUUGUCGCGUCUGCUGUGAAGGACCGGGGCUCAACUCCGGUUCUGCAGUGGGUACGGGCAGACUAGAGUGCAGUAGGGGAGACUGGAAUUCCUGGUGUAGCGGUGAAAUGCGCAGAUAUCAGGAGGAACACCGAUGGCGAAGGCAGGUCUCUGGGCUGUAACUGACGCUGAGGAGCGAAAGCAUGGGGAGCGAACAGG
rnacentral:rRNA from 1 species